rnacentral:lncRNA from 1 species
CCAUGGUGAAUACCUUAAGAGUUAUUUGUGAUUAGAUUAACUGCUCUUUUGAUUGUUAUGAAGAUGUAUCAGUAGCCACAUACAGAAGUAACCAAAUGUUGGUUGCUUAGCAGCUGACAUUGUUACUUUUAAAAAUCUAAUAUGAUCCUUUUGGUCUACUUUUUCACUCUGGAGGAAGAUGCCAUUAGUGAAAUUAAGAAGGAGCUAAGCUUAUCAUAGCAAUUUCCCAGUUCUCUCAAACCUUCUCUUCCACAGGGUAUCACAUACAUACACAACACAGUCAAAUAUUGCCUUCAUGUUGUAUUCUGGAUACAUGUAAUAUGGAUCCUUGAUGGAUCCAUGCAUAGUCCAGCCCUCUCCCAUUGAUAUCCUAGUUCAGAACAUCACUGGUUCCUCCACACCAACUCAUUCUGCCUUUUAGACCUGUGUCCUUUCACUGUUUUCUUCUCCUAGAUGGGUGUCAGUUGAAAAGGACUGGUGGAUUUCAUGGAAAGUGCUGGUUAUCCUGAUCUUUUGUUUUGGGGUAUGAGGAAAAGUUACUGAAAACACAUUUCCCAUCAUGCAUGGCUCCAUCCUUCACCCUUUUUUCAACAGGAGGAGUGAUUUAUCUGCCUUGUCCAGAAUAAGCGCAUUAACUCCGGAUUGUCUUCUUUAAUAAUAGAAGUAUGAAAAGAAAACGGGCACAGGACUAUCCAAUCAACUUAGUCUACUCUUCACUUCCUCAGAAAACUGGAUAGCAAGUUGGAGAAUCACUCCAGAUUUUUUCAUAUACCCUAGGAAAAAAAACCUCCUCUGCUCUUUCCUUACACAGUUGGACUCUGGAGUUCCCCAAUGUGCAUCCAAGUACUAAACCUAGAAACUUGCUAAAGAAUAUGCGGUGGCACCUGUCUCCAGUCCUCCUGCAUUGCUUUCUGGCUUUUGUGCUAUCUCUCCAUAGUAUAUUACAACCAGAAAGAGCGUUGGAGUUAUUGUGCAGAUGAAGAAGCAGACAACUGAAAAGAUGAGGCGGCUUGCUCGAGGUUAUUCAGCGAGGUAGUAACAAGGCUGAAAUUACAUUCUAUUCUAGUCUACCUUUCACUUUCCCAUCCAAACUAAUAAAAGAAAAUAAAGGAAUGUACA